UUGCUUCUUUGUUAGGAAAAGAUAUUUUAUAAAAAUGCAGUUGCCUUUUGAAUUUUUCGUCAUGGUGACAUCAAUGAUCUGCAAUAUCCUUACCAUCGCCGUUUAUCUUUUCGUAAAGAAACUUCAAAAUACACUUGGAAAGUGCAUUAUGAGCUGCCUUUUCAGCAUGGUCAUGGCGCACUUUAUUUUGGUACUCCAUAAGCUGGAUGUGCUAGUGGAAGGCGUUUCCUCAAAUAUAUUUAUUUUCUUUGUGAUUGCCUACGUUUUAUGGCUUUCUGCCAUAAGUUUUCAUUUGUGGAAAAGCUUCAAAUCGGUCAAGAAGGAAGAAGAUUGGUAUCAAUUUUUGGUCUACAGUGCUCUUGUCUGGAUCACGGCUGCUGUCAUAAUAGGAAUUCGUUAUUUCAUGAAUAAAUUCGAGUUGGAGAACGCAUUCGUUUUGAUUGUAUUUUGAAACUGACAUUGUCAGUUAUGUUUCGUUACCUAGGCUGGCUGCUGCUGAGUAUCUUCAACUUGAUCAUGUUCAUUUUGACUGCUAUUCACAUUUGGAAAGUAAAGAGAGAUCUGAAGAUGUGUACAAGACAGGAAGAGACCACAACAACUUGCCUUGAUUUCGACAACCAAACGCUUGCAAUUUUUCUGCGAUUGUUCGUCAUGGUGGAUGUCUCUUGGUUAAUUUUUUCAAUUAUUUUAAUUGUUACAUUUUUUAAAGACGUUAAUCCAUUUCUUAAUCUGAUCAUUAGUGUUCAUUACUUUUUUGGCAUUUUCAAUUUUAUUUUACUUGUUUGUAAGCGUAGUACCAUAAAACUGAUCGAGGAAAGCAUUCGAGAAAGACGGCCUUCUUUAAAAACCCUAUAUUAACUAUGUGCUCAGUUUCUUAUUCUCAGUUUUCUACAUUUAAAAAAUACCUUUUAAGCUACAACACAUAUUGUCAAACGAAUAUUGUGAAAAAUAAAAAAUAUAUC